UUGAAAGGGAAACGAUUGAAGUCAGUCGUACCUGCGGGUAAUCAGCCUUUUGGGGAGAUUAUGUGGAGCGUGAGGAGUUAAUCACCCUCAUCUUUGCAUAUUCGUGCACUUUGGGUGUACUUGCUCGUGUGGUAGGUUAACAUCAAUUUUGAUCAUCAUAAAAUGAUUGGAGGAAUGUAGCUUCGAUCUCGUAUUGAAGUGUUAUAGCCUUUGGUAGAUGUGAUGAUCGGGAUUGAGGAUUGCAACGGAUACCCUUCGGGGCUACCCGUCUGAUCUCUGAAAGUUGCUCUGGUGCUGAAAGCUUGCUUAUGGUAUCAAAGUUGACGUUCAAUAGGUUAGAACGGGAUAAAUUCGUUAAGGAUGUUGACGUA
rnacentral:rRNA from 1 species